GAUGAACGCUGGCGGCGUGCCUAAUACAUGCAAGUCGAGCGAACGGACUAGAAGCUUGCUUCUCUGAUGUUAGCGGCGGACGGGUGAGUAACACGUGGAUAACCUACCUAUAAGACUGGGAUAACUUCGGGAAACCGGAGCUAAUACCGGAUGAUAUUUUUAACCGCAUGUUUCAAAAGUGAAAGACGGUCUUGCUGUCACUUAUAGAUGGAUCCGCGCUGCAUUAGCUAGUUGGUAAGGUAACGGCUUACCAAGGCAACGAUGCAUAGCCGACCUGAGAGGGUGAUCGGCCACACUGGAACUGAGACAAGGUCCAGACUCCUAAGGGAGGCAGCAGUAGGGAAUCUUCCGCAAAGGGCGAAAGCCGGACGGAGCAACGCCGCGUGAGUGAUGAAGGUCUUCGGAUCGUAAAACUCUGUUAUUAGGGAAGAACAUAUGUGUAAGUAAAUGUGCACAUCUUGACGGUAACUAAUCAGAAAGCCACGGCUAACUACGUG
rnacentral:rRNA from 1 species